rnacentral:rRNA from 1 species
UACGAAGGGUGCAAGCGUUAAUCGGAAUUACUGGGCGUAAAGCGUGCGCAGGCGGUUUUGUAAGUCUGACGUGAAAUCCCCGGGCUUAACCUGGGAAUUGCAUUUGUGACUGCCCGGCUAGAGUGUGUCAGAGGGGGGUAGAAUUCCGACGUGUAGCAGUGAAAUGCGUAGAGAUGUGGAGGAAUACCGAUGGCGAAGGCAGCCCCCUGGGAUAACACUGACGCUCAUGCACGAAAGCGUGGGGACAAACAGGAUUAGAG